rnacentral:rRNA from 1 species
GCCCUUCCUACGGGAGGCAGCAGGGCGGAAUAUUGGUCAAUGGGCGAGAGCCUGAACCAGCCAAGUCGCGUGAAGGAAGAAGGAUCUAUGGUUCGUAAACUUCUUUUGCAGGGGAAUAAAGUGCAGGACGUGUCCUGUUUUGUAUGUACCCUGAGAAUAAGGAUCGGCUAACUCCGUGCCAGCAGCCGCGGUAAUACGGAGGAUCCGAGCGUUAUCCGGAUUUAUUGGGUUUAAAGGGUGCGUAGGUGGUUUGAUAAGUCAGCGGUGAAAGUUUGCAGCUUAACUGUAAAAAUGCCGUUGAAACUGUCGGACUUGAGUGUAAAUGAGGUAGGCGGAAUGCGUGGUGUAGCGGUGAAAUGCUUAGAUAUCACGCAGAACUCCGAUUGCGAAGGCAGCUUACUAAGCUACAACUGACACUGAAGCACGAAAGCGUGGGGAUCAAACAGGAUUAGAUACCCUGGUAGUCCACGCAGUAAACGAUGAUUACUAGCUGUUUGCGAUACACAGUAAGCGGCACAGCGAAAGCGUUAAGUAAUCCACCUGGGGAGUACGCCGGCAACGGUGAAACUCAAAGGAAUUGACGGAAGGGC